rnacentral:rRNA from 1 species
CAGCCGCCACGGGAAUACGGAGGGUGCAAGCGUUAAUCGGAAUUACUGGGCGUAAAGCGCACGCAGGCGGUCUGACAAGUCAGAUGUGAAAUCCCCGGGCUUAACCUGGGAACUGCAUUUGAAACUGUCAGGCUGGAGUCUUGUAGAGGGGGGUGGAAUUCCAGGUGUAGCGGUGAAAUGCGUAGAGAUCUGGAGGAAUACCGGUGGCGAAGGCGGCCCCCUGGACAAAGACUGACGCUCAGGUGCGAAAGCGUGGGGAGCAAACAGGAUUAGAGACCCCGGUAGUCCCUGUCUCUUAUAC